rnacentral:rRNA from 1 species
GACGAACGCUGGCGGCGUGCCUAAUACAUGCAAGUCGAGCGGACUUUCAAGAAGCUUGCUUUUUGAAAGUUAGCGGCGGACGGGUGAGUAACACGUGGGCAACCUGCCUGCAAGACGGGGAUAACUCCGGGAAACCGGGGCUAAUACCGGAUAAUAUCUUCCUUCGCAUGAAGGAAGGUUGAAAGGCGGCGCAAGCUGCCGCUUGCAGAUGGGCCCGCGGCGCAUUAGCUAGUUGGUGAGGUAACGGCUCACCAAGGCGACGAUGCGUAGCCGACCUGAGAGGGUGAUCGGCCACUCUGGGACGGAGACACGGCCCAGACUCCUACGGGAGGCAGCAGUAGGGAAUCUUCCGCAAUGGACGAAAGUCUGACGGAGCAACGCCGCGUGAGCGAAGAAGGUCUUCGGAUCGUAAAGCUCUGUUGUCAGGGAAGAACAAGUACCGUUCGAACAGGGCGGUACCUUGACGGUACCUGACCAGAAAGCCACGGCUAACUACGUG